rnacentral:rRNA from 1 species
UACGUAGGGGGCAAGCGUUGUCCGGAAUUAUUGGGCGUAAAGCGCACGUAGGCGGUUCGUUAAGUCGGAUGUGAAAGCCCUCGGCUCAACUGAGGAAGUGCACCCGAAACUGGCGAGCUUGAGUACUUAAGAGGAUCGCGGAAUUCCCGGUGUAGAGGUGAAAUUCGUAGAUAUCGGGAGGAACACCAGUGGCGAAGGCGGCGAUCUGGGAAGAUACUGACGCUGAGGUGCGAAAGCGUGGGGAGCAAACAGG